GCUCCCGUAGUUCAAUGGAUAGAAUAAUGGUUUCCGGUACCAUCGAUAGGGGUUCGAAUCCCUUCGGGAGCACUA
rnacentral:tRNA from 1 species